CCUACGGGGGGCAGCAGUGCGGAAUAUUGGUCAAUGGACGAGAGUCUGAACCAGCCAAGUAGCGUGAAGGAUGACUGCCCUAUGGGUUGUAAACUUCUUUUAUAUGGGAAUAAAAUGUUCCACGUGUGGGAUUUUGUAUGUCCCAUAUGAUUAAGGAUAGGCUACCUCCGUGCCUGCAGCCGCGGUAAUACGGAGGAUCCGAGCGUUAUCCGGAUUUAUUGGGUUUAAAGGGGGCGUAGGUGGAUUGUUAAGCCAGUUGUGAAAGUUUGCGGCUCAACCGUAAAAUUGCAGUUGAAACUGGCAGGCUUGAGUACAGUAGAGGUGGGCGGAAUUCGUGGUGUAGCGGUGAAAUGCUUAGAUAUCACGAAGAACUCCGAUUGCGAAGGCAGCUCACUGGACUGCAACUGACACUGAGGCUCGAAAGUGUGGGUAUCAAACAGGAUUAGAUACCCUUGUAGUC
rnacentral:rRNA from 1 species